GAGCGGUGGUAGCUCAGUCGGGUAAGCGCCCGCUUCUUACGCCAGAGAUGCGGGUUCGAAUCCCGGUGCUAGUUCU
rnacentral:tRNA from 1 species